rnacentral:rRNA from 1 species
CAAGCUACUAAGGGCGUACGGUGGAUGUCUUGGCGCUAGAAGGCGAUGAAGGGCGUGGAAGGCUGCGAAAAUCCUGGUUGAGCUGUCAAACAAGCGUUGAAUCCAGGGUUCCCGAAUUAGCGUCUACUGAAUCCAUAGGUAGGCGUGGCAAACGGUGGGAAGUGAAACAUCUCAGUACCACCAGGAAAGGAAAGCAAAAGCGACUUCCUUAGUAGCGGCGAGCGAACGGGAAAUAGCCCAAACCGCCGGCCAUGUGCCGGCGGGGUUGUGGGGCCGAGCAUACACCAACUGGAAUCUAGCCGAUACGUGCCUGGAAAGGCCGACCAUAGAGGGUGAUAGUCCCGUAGGCGAAGGAAAGAAAGUUGGUGCUCGGUACCCGAGUAGGACCAUGCACGUGAAACGUGGUCUGAAUCUGGGGGGACCAUCCUCCAAGGCUAAGUACUCUCUAGCGACCGAUAGCUCACAAGUAGGGCGACUGAAAGAUGAGAAGAACCCCUAUUAGGGGAGGUACUGAACCUGAAACCGUACGCUUACAAGCUGUCGGAGCCCUAUGGCCAUUGGCCAGGGUGACGGCGUGCCUUUUGCAUAAUGAUCCGGCGAGUUACCGUUUCUGGCAAGGUUAAGUGGUUAAGCCACGGAGCCGUAGCGAAAGCGAGUCUGAAUAGGGCGCAAAGUCAGGGGCGGUAGACGCGAAACCUGGUGAUCUACCCAUGGGCAGGUUGAAGCGCGUGUGAUAACGCGUGGAGGACCGAACCCACCAAUGUUGAAAAAUUGGGGGAUGACCUGUGGGGAGGAGUAAAAGUCUAAUCAAACCAGGUGAUAGCUCGUUCUCUCCGAAAUAGCUUGAGGGUUAGCCUCGGACCACUACGUCAUGGGGGUAGAGCGACUGAAUCGGAAUGGGGGGCUACCCGCCUACCCAUCCGAACCAAACUCCGAAUACCAUGGCGACUAUUCCGGGAGUGAGACCGUGGGGGAUAAGCUUCACGGUCGAGAGGGAAACAGCCCAGACCGCCGGCUAAGGUCCCAGAUUCUUGCUCAGUGCAAAAGGAAGUUGAAAUGCUGAGACAGCCAGGAUGUUGGCUUAGAAGCAGCCAUCAUUUAAAAAGUGCGUAAUAGCUUACUGGUCGAGCGUUUCUGCGCCGAUAAUGAACGGGACUAAGCAAGAAGCCGAAGCCGCGGACCCAUUUAUGGGUGGUAGGAGAGCGUUGCACGCUAGGUUGAAGCGAGACGGACAACGACUCGUGGACGAUGUGCAAGUGAUCAUGCCGGAACGAGUAACGAUAAAACAGGUGAGAAUCCUGUUCGCCGAAAGCCUAAGGUUUCCUGGGGAAGGCAAUUCCGCCCAGGGUUAGUCGGAUCCUUAGACGAGGCCGAAAGGCGUAGUCGAUGGACAGCAGGUUAAUAUUCCUGCACCGUAGGUAAAUGCUGAUGGAAGGGACGUUGAUCGGAUAGUGAGCAGUGGGGCUAGAAAUCCACGCACCGCAAGGUGGACGGCGCUUAUGAUCCGGAAGUCAUUUGAUGAUCAACCAAGAAAAGCUUCCAAAGGGAAGUUACCGCGUCCGUACUAAAACUGACACAGGUAGGCUAGGUGAGAAUCCUAAGGCGCUCGAGAGAACCCUCGUGAAGGAACUAGGCAAAAUGACCCCGUAACUUAGGGAUAAGGGGUGCCCCUGGUGGUUUGCGCUGCUGGGGGUCUCAGAAAAGUGGCACUGGCGACUGUUUACUAAAAACACAGCACUCUGCGAACUCGCAAGAGGACGUAUAGGGUGUGACGCGUGCUCGGUGCCGGUAGGUUAAGGGGAAGGGUUAGUCCUCGGAUGAAGCUCAUAACCGAAGCCCCGGUAAACGGCGGCCGUAACUAUGACGGUCCUAAGGUAGCGAAGUUCCUUGUCGGGUAAGUUCCGACCUGCAUGAAUCGCGUAACGACUGGUGCACUGUCUCCACGAGGGACUCGGUGAAACUGAAGUCGAGGUGAAGAUACCUCGUACCUGCGGCAAGACGGAAAGACCCCGUGAACCUUUACUGUAGGUUAGUAUUGGGCUUAGGUGCUGUCUGUGUAGGAUAGGUGGGAGACGAUGAAGCGGAGACGCCAGUCUUCGUGGAGUCACUGGUGAAAUACCACCCUGAUCGUACUUGAGUUCUAACCCCAUCCCGUGAAGCCGGGUGGGGAACAGUGCUAAUUGGGCAGUUUGACUGGGGCGGUCUCCUCCCAAAGAGUAACGGAGGAGUACAAAGGUACCCUCAGCCCGGUUGGCAAUCGGGCAAAGAGCGCAAGGGUAUAAGGGUGCUUGACUGCGAGACUGAUAAGUCGAGCAGAAACGAAAGUUGGUCCUAGUGAUCCGGCGAUUCCGAAUGGAAGGGUCGUCGCUCAUCAGAUAAAAGGUACUCCGGGGAUAACAGGCUGAUCUCCCCCGAGCGUCCAUAGCGGCGGGGAGGUUUGGCACCUCGAUGUCGGCUCAUCGCAUCCUGGGGCUGGAGAAGGUCCCAAGGGUUUGGCUGUUCGCCAAUGAAAGCGUUACGUGAGCUGGGUUUAGACCGUCGUGAGACAGGUCGGUCCCUAUCUGUCGUAGGCGUAGGAAGCUUGAAGGGGCUCUGUCCUUAGUACGAGAGGAUUAGGAUGGACGGACCUCUUGUGUCCCAGUUAUCGCGCUAGCGGUACCGCUGGGUAGCGAAGUCCGGACCGGAUAAGCGCUGAAGGCAUAUAAGCGCGAAGCCGACCCCAAGAUGAGGCUUCCUUGUUCCAUUGGAACUGAAGACCCCUGGAAGACUACCAGGUUGAUAGGCCGGGUGUGUAAGGCUGGUAACAGUCUUAGCUAACCGGUACUAACGGUCGACCGCUUG